CGGGACACGUGGUAUCCUGUCUGAAUAUGGGGGGACCAUCCUCCAAGGCUAAAUACUCCUGACUGACCGAUAGUGAACCAGUACCGUGAGGGAAAGGCGAAAAGAACCCCGGCGAGGGGAGUGAAAAAGAACCUGAAACCGUGUACGUACAAGCAGUGGGAGCACGCUUAGGCGUGUGACUGCGUACCUUUUGUAUAAUGGGUCAGCGACUUAUAUUCUGUAGCAAGGUUAACCGAAUAGGGGAGCCGAAGGGAAACCGAGUCUUAACUGGGCGUUAAGUUGCAGGGUAUAGACCCGAAACCCGGUGAUCUAGCCAUGGGCAGGUUGAAGGUUGGGUAACACUAACUGGAGGACCGAACCGACUAAUGUUGAAAAAUUAGCGGAUGACUUGUGGCUGGGGGUGAAAGGCCAAUCAAACCGGGAGAUAGCUGGUUCUCCCCGAAAGCUAUUUAGGUAGCGCCUCGUGAAUUCAUCUCCGGGGGUAGAGCACUGUUUCGGCAAGGGGGUCAUCCCGACUUACCAACCCGAUGCAAACUGCGAAUACCGGAGAAUGUUAUCACGGGAGACACACGGCGGGUGCUAACGUCCGUCGUGAAGAGGGAAACAACCCAGACCGCCAGCUAAGGUCCCAAAGUCAUGGUUAAGUGGGAAACGAUGUGGGAAGGCCCAGACAGCCAGGAUGUUGGCUUAGAAGCAGCCAUCAUUUAAAGAAAGCGUAAUAGCUCACUGGUCGAGUCGGCCUGCGCGGAAGAUGUAACGGGGCUAAACCAUGCACCGAAGCUGCGGCAGCGACGCUGAUGCGUUGUUGGGUAGGGGAGCGUUCUGUAAGCCUGCGAAGGUGUGCUGUGAGGCAUGCUGGAGGUAUCAGAAGUGCGAAUGCUGACAUAAGUAACGAUAAAGCGGGUGAAAAGCCCGCUCGCCGGAAGACCAAGGGUUCCUGUCCAACGUUAAUCGGGGCAGGGUGAGUCGACCCCUAAGGCGAGGCCGAAAGGCGUAGUCGAUGGGAAACAGGUUAAUAUUCCUGUACUUGGUGUUACUGCGAAGGGGGGACGGAGAAGGCUAUGUUGGCCGGGCGACGGUUGUCCCGGUUUAAGCGUGUAGGCUGGUUUUCCAGGCAAAUCCGGAAAAUCAAGGCUGAGGCGUGAUGACGAGGCACUACGGUGCUGAAGCAACAAAUGCCCUGCUUCCAGGAAAAGCCUCUAAGCAUCAGGUAACAUCAAAUCGUACCCCAAACCGACACAGGUGGUCAGGUAGAGAAUACCAAGGCGCUUGAGAGAACUCGGGUGAAGGAACUAGGCAAAAUGGUGCCGUAACU
rnacentral:rRNA from 1 species